UCAGGUGGCUAUGGCUCCGGUGUCCCACCUCUUCCCAUUCCGCACAGAGAAGUUAAGCCCGGACGCGCCGAUGGUACUGCCCAACCCGCGGGAGAGUAGGUCGCCGCCUUUU
rnacentral:rRNA from 1 species